UUCGACUGUUUUACCAAAAACAUAGCUUCUAGAAAUAAUUAGAAGUAAUAUCCUGCCCGGUGAAAGAAAUUUUAAACGGCCACUAUUUGUGCUAAGGUAGCGUAAUCAAUUGUCCUUUUACUGAGGACUAGUAUGAAAGGAAAAACGAGGCUCAACUGUCUCUAUCAAUGAAGAUAAGAAAUUAGUGUUUAGGUGAAAAAACCUAAAUUAAAUUAAAGGACGAGAAGACCCUAUAGAGUUUAAAUACAGUGUGCGGACAUUCUUUACAAAGAACAACCUACACGUAUUUUGAUUGGGGCAACAUAGGAGCAAACAAAUCUCCUACAAAUAAACAUUUAGAAUCAUAAAGACAAUAAAUCCUCAAAGAGAAAAAGAAAAACUACCUUAGGGAUAACAGCGUAAUUUUUCUAAAGAGAUCUAAUCGAAAGAAAAGUUUGCGACCUCGAUGUUGGACUAAGGCGACAUAACGGUGAAGAGGCUGUUAAAAGUGGGCCUGUUCGGCCCAACAAGCCUUACAUGAUUUGGGUUUCAUUCCGUAA
rnacentral:rRNA from 1 species